rnacentral:rRNA from 1 species
UACGGAGGAUGCAAGCGUUAUCCGGAAUGAUUGGGCGUAAAGCGUCCGCAGGUGGCUGUGUAAGUCUGCUGUUAAAUAGUGAGGCUCAACCUCAUAAAGGCAGUGGAAACUACACGGCUAGAGUGCGUUCGGGGCAGAGGGAAUUCCAGGUGUAGCGGUGAAAUGCGUAGAUAUCUGGAGGAACACCGGUGGCGAAGGCGGCGUUCUGGACUGCAACUGACACUGAGGAACGAAAGCCAGGGUAGCAAACGGG